AGAGUUUGAUCAUGGCUCAGGACGAACGCUGGCGGCGUGCUUAACACAUGCAAGUGGAGCGACGAACCAGGGCUUGCCCUGGGGCAGAGCCGCGAACGGGUGAGUAACACGUGGGUAACGUGCCCCGAUGACUGGGACAACCCGGGGAAACCCGGGCUAAUACCGGAUAUGCCCCCUGACAUCUGUCAGGUGUGUAAAGGAAGCUUCGGCCUCCGCAUCGGGAUCGGCCCGCGGCGCAUUAGCUUGUUGGUGGGGUAAUGGCCUACCAAGGCAGCGAUGCGUAGCUGGUCUGAGAGGACGAUCAGCCACACUGGGACUGAGACACGGCCCAGACUCCUACGGGAGGCAGCAGUGGGGAAUCUUGCACAAUGCGCGAAAGCGUGAUGCAGCAACGCCGCGUGCGGGAAGACGGCCUUCGGGUUGUAAACCGCUUUCAGUUGGGACGAAGGUCGGGUGGUUAAUAGCCAUUCCGGCUGACGGUACCUUCACAAGAAGCCCCGGCUAACUACGUGCCAGCAGCCGCGGUAAUACGUAGGGGGCAAGCGUUGUCCGGAAUCAUUGGGCGUAAAGAGCGUGUAGGCGGCCUGAUAAGUCGGCUGUGAAAGUCAAGGGCUCAACCCUUGAAUGCCGGCCGAUACUGUCAGGCUAGAAUCCGGAAGAGGCGAGUGGAAUUCCUGGUGUAGCGGUGAAAUGCGCAGAUAUCAGGAGGAACACCUAUGGCGAAGGCAGCUCGCUGGGACGGUAUUGACGCUGAGACGCGAAAGCGUGGGGAGCGAACAGGAUUAGAUACCCUAGUAGUCC
rnacentral:rRNA from 1 species